ensembl:lncRNA
GAGGAACCUGAUGUGCUGCAGUCCAUGGGGUCUCGAAGAGUCAGACAAGGCUUAGGAACUCAACAGCAGCAACAAAUAAACAACCUGGACCCCUAGCUUCAGUCUGGACCAGUACAUUAGCCCAUCCAGGACAGGGAAAUGAAGCACAGUUUUUGAGGGUGGUUAUCCAGACUGGAGAUGAAGAGGGUGUUCAGUGAGGAGUCAAGACCUAUUUGGAGUGGUGGGUAUCUCAUCAUGGCUGCUCCAGGAAAGCACAGCCGCUGCUCCUUACCUUGGACGAGGUUGCCCCUCCUGACCUUGGAUGUGGGGUAGCUCGUCUCGGCUGCUCCUGCGCUGUUGCAGCCUGGUGCUCUCGGUUGCCACCCCUAACCCUGGGCUUCUGCGUGGUCUGUCAUAGCUGCCAUACUCAUUGAUGCAGUCAUCUGAAUUUCAU